rnacentral:rRNA from 1 species
GAUGAACGCUAGCUACAGGCUUAACACAUGCAAGUCGAGGGGUAACGAGAGGAAAGCUUGCUUUCCUUGUCGACGACCGGCGCACGGGUGAGUAACGCGUAUCCAACCUGCCCCCAACUAGGGAAUAACCUUGCGAAAGUAAGACUAAUACCCUAUAAUUUCCUCAGAUGUCAUCUGACGAGGAAUAAAGAUUUAUCGGUUGUGGAUGGGGAUGCGUCUGAUUAGCUUGUUGGCGGGGUAACGGCCCACCAAGGCAACGAUCAGUAGGGGUUCUGAGAGGAAGGUCCCCCACAUUGGAACUGAGACACGGUCCAAACUCCUACGGGAGGCAGCAGUGCGGAAUAUUGGUCAAUGGGCGGAAGCCUGAACCAGCCAAGUAGCGUGCAGGAUGACGGCCCUAUGGGUUGUAAACUGCUUUUAUACAGGAAUAAAGCUAGCCACGUGUGGUUAUUUGUAGGUACUGUAUGAAUAAGGACCGGCUAAUUCCGUGCCAGCCGCCGCAGUAA